rnacentral:lncRNA from 1 species
GGAAGAGUUUUCCAUGGAUUUCUCAUUUUUGGGAGUUUUCCAUGGAUUUCUCAUUUUUGGGAGUUUUCCAUGGAUUUCUCAUUUUUGGGAAAGAGUUUUCCAUGGAUUUCUCAUUUUUGGGAAAGAGUUUUCCAUGGAUUUCUCAUUAUGGGAAAGAUUUUUCUAUGGAU